rnacentral:rRNA from 1 species
GACGAACCGUGCGAACGUUGUUCGGAAUCACUGGGCUUAAAGGGCGCGUAGGCGGGCAUCCAAGUCAGUGGUGAAAUCCUCCGGCCUAACCGGAGAAGAGCUGUUGAUACUGGGUGCCUCGAGUGGUGCAGGGGUCUGCGGAACUUCCGGUGGAGCGGUGAAAUGUGUUGAUAUCGGAAGGAACGCCGGUGGCGAAAGCGAUCUGCUGGACCUCUUCUGACGCUGAGGCGCGAAAGCUAGGGGAGCAAACGGG